UCCAAGUGAAGCGGAGGACAGUGGCGGACGGGUGAGUAACGCGUGAGGAACCUGCCUUUCAGAGGGGGACAACAGUUGGAAACGACUGCUAAUACCGCAUGACACAUAGAUGUCGCAUGGCAUUUUAUGUCAAAGAUUUAUCGCUGAAAGAUGGCCUCGCGUCUGAUUAGCUAGUUGGUGAGGUAACGGCCCACCAAGGCAACGAUCGGUAGCCGGACUGAGAGGUUGAACGGCCACAUUGGGACUGAGAUACGGCCCAGACUCC
rnacentral:rRNA from 1 species